rnacentral:rRNA from 1 species
UACGUAGGGUGCAAGCGUUGUCCGGAAUUAUUGGGCGUAAAGAGCUCGUAGGCGGUCUGUCGCGUCUGCUGUGAAAACUCAGGGCUUAACCCUGAGCUUGCAGUGGGUACGGGCAGACUAGAGUGCGGUAGGGGAGGCUGGAAUUCCUGGUGUAGCGGUGAAAUGCGCAGAUAUCAGGAAGAACACCCGUGGCUAAGGCGGCUCUCUAGUACGGUAC